rnacentral:rRNA from 1 species
GAUGAACGCUAGCUACAGGCUUAACACAUGCAAGUCGAGGGGAAACGGCAUUGAGUGCUUGCACUCUUUGGACGUCGACCGGCGCACGGGUGAGUAACGCGUAUCCAACCUUCCCAUUACUGUGGGAUAACCUGCCGAAAGGCAGACUAAUACCGCAUAGUCUUCGUUGACGGCAUCCGAUACGAAGUAAAGAUUUAUCGGUAAUGGAUGGGGAUGCGUCUGAUUAGCUUGUUGGCGGGGUAACGGCCCACCAAGGCGACGAUCAGUAGGGGUUCUGAGAGGAAGGUCCCCCACAUUGGAACUGAGACACGGUCCAAACUCCUACGGGAGGCAGCAGUGAGGAAUAUUGGUCAAUGGACGGAAGUCUGAACCAGCCAAGUAGCGUGCAGGAUGACGGCCCUAUGGGUUGUAAACUGCUUUUGUAUGGGGAUAAAGUUAGGGACGUGUCCCUAUUUGCAGGUACCAUACGAAUAAGGACCGGCUAAUUCCGUGCCAGCAGCCGCGGUAAUACGGAAGGUCCAGGCGUUAUCCGGAUUUAUUGGGUUUAAAGGGAGCGUAGGCUGGAGAUUAAGUGUGUUGUGAAAUGUAGACGCUCAACGUCUGAAUUGCAGCGCAUACUGGUUUCCUUGAGUACGCACAACGUUGGCGGAAUUCGUCGUGUAGCGGUGAAAUGCUUAGAUAUGACGAAAAACUCCGAUUGCGAAGGCAGCUGACGGGAGCGCACUGACGCUUAAGCUCGAAGGUGCGGGUAUCGAACAGG